AUGACAAAAGCUAUACCAAAAAUUGGUUCACGUAAGAAAGUGCAUAUUGGUUUACGUAGGAAUGCACGUUUUAGUUUAUGGAAGAGUGCACGUAGAAUAACAAAAGGGGUUAUUCAUGUUCAAGCUAGUUUCAACAAUACCAUUAUAACUGUUACAGACCCACAAGGUCGGGUGGUUUUUUGGUCCUCGGCCGGUACUUGUGGAUUCAAAAGCUCAAGAAAAGCAUCACCCUAUGCUGGUCAAAGAACAGCAGUAGAUGCUAUUCGUACAGUAGGUUUGCAACAAGCAGAAGUUAUGGUAAAGGGCGCUGGUAGUGGAAGAGAUGCCGCAUUACGAGCCAUUGCUAAAAGUAGUCAAGCGGACACUGUCGGUAUUGCCUUGCGAAGAGCUUUACUUGGAGAAAUAGAAGGAACAUGUAUCACACGUGCAAAAUUUGGGAGCGUGCCACACGAGUAUUCUACAAUAGCAGGUAUUGAAGAAUCCGUACAAGAAAUUUUACUAAAUUUGAAAGAAAUUGUAUUGAGAAGUAAUCUCUAUGGAGUUAGAGGCGCAUCCAUUUGCGUCAAAGGUCCUAGAUACAUAACUGCUCAAGACAUCAUCUUACCGCCUUCCGUAGAAAUCGUUGAUACGGCACAACCUAUAGCUAACUUGACAGAACCCAUUGAUUUCUGUAUUGAUUUGCAGAUCAAGAGAGAUCGUGGAUAUCAGACAUAA
rnacentral:rRNA from 1 species